GAGUGAAUUACAAAUUUUGUCUUUAUCUUUAUCCCGACUUUCAGACGGUGUCCUUUAUCUUUAAAAUUGAUGAGUUUUGUACUUAAUAUUUGAAAAUCCUACACCUUAUGCCCUUUAGGUCUAACCCAGUACAAACCUCAUCAAUUUUAAAGACAAAGUACACAGCCUGAAUUUGAUAUAAAAAUUGAUGACAAAACUUGUAAUUUACUCUUCCCCAAAUAACGAAAGGUAAUGCAGAAUGAAAUACGGUGUCCUUAUGUGCGGACAACACAUAUCCUGAUUGGAUUGAAUUAUUUGCAAGACUCAAAAGUCAGCGGCCAUUUUGGUAAGUUUGUUGGUCAACAUGGCUGAUUUCGGAUACAUGAAACAUACACAUGAUAAUCAGGUUUUAAUGUUUUUGGAUGUGGUCUAAGGAACUAUGUAGUUAAUAUCCCGAUAUAUCACCCGAUAUAUCAGUGAUAUAUCGGUUAUCAGUCCCCUGCCGAGAUAUCGGUACAAAAUAUCAGUCAGAAUAUCGGUACCGAUAAUAUCGGUACCGAUAAUAUCGGUGAUAUUGAC
rnacentral:lncRNA from 1 species